rnacentral:lncRNA from 1 species
UUGUACGCACAUUUUUCCACAUGUAUUUAUAAUAAUUAUUUUUUAGUAAUAUAUGUUGCCAAUGCUAUGUAUCACUAAUUCAGUCCAACUAAACCGACAAAUGCUACGGGCAGAAGUCCCAUCAGCAUCACAAAUCAGAAGAACAUACCCCCCUAAGUCUGAACAACUAGUCCUCGCUUGCGACUACCCAGAUGAUACAAUAAAACCCAUGCGAUUUAGUAUGAUAACAAAGUGCUGGUUUGACCGCCAACUCAAAAGAGCAAUUAAUUUGUACACUAUCUGACACGCAAGUGAAAGACCACUAACAGAUGCUCUAUCUAACAGUACCUCGGUGAUGACACACUCUGGAGCCAAGUUCCUCAAAUGCACAAACAGUAGUGUAUGGAAAUCUGAGUUCAAAUGCUACAGGAGUAACCAGUUUUUUC